UGGGGAAUUUUGGACAAUGGGCGAAAGCCUGAUCCAGCAAUGCCGCGUGUGUGAAGAAGGCCUUCGGGUUGUAAAGCACUUUUGUCCGGAAAGAAAUCCUUGGCUCUAAUACAGUCGGGGGAUGACGGUACUGGAAGAAUAAGCACCGGCUAACUACGUGCCAGCAGCCGCGGUAAUACGUAGGGUGCAAGCGUUAAUCGGAAUUACUGGGCGUAAAGCGUGCGCAGGCGGUUUGCUAAGACCGAUGUGAAAUCCCCGGGCUCAACCUGGGAACUGCAUUGGUGACUGGCAGGCUAGAGUAUGGCAGAGGGGGGUAGAAUUCCACGUGUAGCAGUGAAAUGCGUAGAGAUGUGGAGGAAUACCGAUGGCGAAGGCAGCCCCCUGGGCCAAUACUGACGCUCAUGCACGAAAGCGUGGGGAGCAAACAGGAUUAGAUACCCUGGUAGUCCACGCCCUAAACGAUGUCAACUAGUUGUUGGGGAUUCAUUUCCUUAGUAACGUAGCUAACGCGUGAAGUUGACCGCCUGGGGAGUGCGGUCGCAAGAUUAAAACUCAAAGGAAUUGACGGGGUCAUAGCUGUUUCCU
rnacentral:rRNA from 1 species